rnacentral:rRNA from 1 species
UAGGGAAUCUUCCGCAAUGGACGCAAGUCUGACGGAGCAACGCCGCGUGAGUGAAGAAGGAUUUCGGUUCGUAAAACUCUGUUGUUAGAGAAGAACAGCGCAUAGAGUAACUGUUAUGCGUGUGACGGUAUCUAACCAGAAAGCCACGGCUAACUACGUGCCAGCAGCCGCGGUAAUACGUAGGUGGCAAGCGUUGUCCGGAUUUAUUGGGCGUAAAGCGAGCGCAGGCGGUCAAUUAAGUCUGAUGUGAAAGCCCCCGGCUCAACCGGGGAGGGUCAUUGGAAACUGUUUAACUUGAGUGCAGAAGGGGAGAGUGGAAUUCCAUGUGUAGCGGUGAAAUGCGUAGAUAUAUGGAGGAACAACGGUGGCGAAAGCGGCUCUCUGGUCUGUAACUGACGCUGAGGCUCGAAAGCGUGGGGAGCGAACAGG